GCCCGGGGGGCUCAGUUGGUUCAGCUUCUGACUUUAGCUCAGGUCAUGAUCUCACUGCUUGUGGGUUCAAGCCCCGCGUCGGGCU
rfam:Felis catus isolate Cinnamon breed Abyssinian chromosome X, whole genome shotgun sequence.